GCCGCCUUAGCUCAGUUGGUAGAGCACUAUUUUCGUAAAAUAGGGGUCCGCGGUUCGAAUCCGCGAGGCGGCU
rnacentral:tRNA from 1 species